CUUCAACGAGCCGAGGUACAGCGGCUGGUCGGCGGGGCGGUGACGGCCGUAAGUGGCCAGCAGCGCGUCGGCCUC
rnacentral:antisense_RNA from 1 species